GACGAACGCUGGCGGCGUGCUUAACACAUGCAAGUCGAACGGAAAGGCCCUGCUUUUGUGGGGUGCUCGAGUGGCGAACGGGUGAGUAACACGUGAGUAACCUGCCCUUGACUUUGGGAUAACUUCAGGAAACUGGGGCUAAUACCGGAUAGGAGCUCCUGCUGCAUGGUGGGGGUUGGAAAGUUUCGGCGGUUGGGGAUGGACUCGCGGCUUAUCAGCUUGUUGGUGGGGUAGUGGCUUACCAAGGCUUUGACGGGUAGCCGGCCUGAGAGGGUGACCGGCCACAUUGGGACUGAGAUACGGCCCAGACUCCUACGGGAGGCAGCAGUGGGGAAUAUUGCACAAUGCGCGGAAGCCUGAUGCAGCAACGCCGCGUGCGGGAUGACGGCCUUCGGGUUGUAAACCGCUUUCGCCUGUGACGAAGCGUGAGUGACGGUAAUGGGUAAAGAAGCACCGGCUAACUACGUGCCAGCAGCCGCGGUGAUACGUAGGGUGCGAGCGUUGUCCGGAUUUAUUGGGCGUAAAGGGCUCGUAGGUGGUUGAUCGCGUCGGAAGUGUAAUCUUGGGGCUUAACCCUGAGCGUGCUUUCGAUACGGGUUGACUUGAGGAAGGUAGGGGAGAAUGGAAUUCCUGGUGGAGCGGUGGAAUGCGCAGAUAUCAGGAGGAACACCAGUGGCGAAGGCGGUUCUCUGGGCCUUUCCUGACGCUGAGGAGCGAAAGCGUGGGGAGCGAACAGGCUUAGAUACCCUGGUAGUCCACGCUGUAAACGGUGGGUACUAGGUGUGGGGUCCAUUCCACGGGUUCCGUGCCGUAGCUAACGCUUUAAGUACCCCGCCUGGGGAGUACGGCCGCAAGGCUAAAACUCAAAGGAAUUGACGGGGCCCCGCACAAGCGGCGGAGCAUGCGGAUUAAUUCGAUGCAACGCGUAGAACCUUACCUGGGUUUGACAUGGAUCGGGAGUGCUCAGAGAUGGGUGUGCCUCUUUUGGGGUCGGUUCACAGGUGGUGCAUGGCUGUCGUCAGCUCGUGUCGUGAGAUGUUGGGUUAAGUCCCGCAACGAGCGCAACCCUUGUUCACUGUUGCCAGCACGUUAUGGUGGGGACUCAGUGGAGACCGCCGGGGUCAACUCGGAGGAAGGUGGGGAUGACGUCAAGUCAUCAUGCCCCUUAUGUCCAGGGCUUCACGCAUGCUACAAUGGCUGGUACAGAGAGUGGCGAGCCUGUGAGGGUGAGCGAAUCUCGGAAAGCCGGUCUCAGUUCGGAUUGGGGUCUGCAACUCGACCUCAUGAAGUCGGAGUCGCUAGUAAUCGCAGAUCAGCAACGCUGCGGUGAAUACGUUCCCGGG
rnacentral:rRNA from 1 species